rnacentral:pre_miRNA from 11 species
GUCAGGAUUUCACCCGCAGACCACACGUUGUUAAUGCUAAUCGUGAUAGGGGUUUUUAUCUCUGACUGACUCCUACAUGUUAGCAUUAAGAAUGUGUAGUGCUUAUUCCCAGAACUGACAU